rnacentral:rRNA from 1 species
UACGGGGGGGGCAAGCGUUGUUCGGAAUUACUGGGCGUAAAGGGCUCGUAGGUGGCCAACUAAGUCAGACGUGAAAUCCCCAGGCUCAACUCGGGAACUGCGUCUGAUACUGGAUGGCUUGAAUUCGGGAGAGGGAUGCAGAAUUCCAGGUGUAGCGGUGAAAUGCGUAGAUAUCUGGAGGAAUACCGGUGGCGAAGGCGGCAUCCUGGACCGAGAUUGACACUGAUGAGCGAAAGCCAGGGGAGCAAACGGG